rfam:Oryza glumipatula chromosome 2, whole genome shotgun sequence.
GAUAAACCUGAGUUUCCGUGUCCAAUGUUUGACUGUCCGUCUUAUUUGAAAAAAUUAUGAAAGAAAUUAAAAAGAUAAGUCACACAUAAAGUAUUAAUCAUGUUUUAUUAUCUAACAACAAUGAAAAUACUAAUUAUAAGAAAAUUUCAUAUAAGAAGGAUAGUCAAACGUUGGACACGGAAACCCAGGAUUUGUCCUUUU